UAGCUCAGUCGGUAGAGCGUUGGACUCUUAAUCCAACGGUCGUCGGUUCGAGCUGAU
rnacentral:tRNA from 1 species